AGCUUACAAGCCCAGCAACCCAAGAACAUCCGUGAAGCCUACUUGUGCAGGAAAACUGCUCUGAGCAUCUGUACAUCUGUUAAUUAUUAAGACCUUCCACGAGCCCAGAGAGUCUGAAGCCUGCCACAAUUAGAAAAAUUUGGCAUGCCCUUGGCACUUCCCAGAUGGCUCCUUCAAGUGUGCCAAUUACUCAGCCUUGCACUGUUCAGGGAGGUGUGGGAGCCGAGGCUGAGCGCCUAAGGGCCUCAGAGCUGUGAAAGCCACCUUCUCUAUAUGCCAUCCCACACGACGAGGAACACUGCUGGCCUAGAGCCACGACCUGCCGUAAGAACGAAGCAUGGUGGUGAGGUGGCAGGAUGAUAAGGCAUGUAACCGCUGUCCUCAUUCACUGAGCACUGUGGUAAUUACUUAAUCGAAGGAUUUGGAACUAGCUUCCUCCGCUACGUUGGCCCUGUCCCCCUCAUCCUGACAUCAUGAUACCACUGAGUACAGCUCUGAGGUUGUCAGGCCACUGUGUUCAACUGUCCUCUGCUGGUGUCGGCCCCUCCCAAACCCAGGCUCUAGGAUGCACACUUCCUUCCCUUGGCUUCCAAGAAACCACCAUCGCAUGGCUUACUUUCUUUCUCAGUGAUCACACUGGCAGUGGCUGAGCAGAGAAGGAGCCAGCAAAGGACUUGUAAAUUGUGUGACCAACGACAUGAAAGGAAACCAAGAGAGGGUCCUAUCACAGAAGCCAAGAGAGAAGAGUUCAGUUUGUCAAACACUGUGGAAAGGGUGCAGUAAAAUAGUGACAGUGAAAUGGCACUGGAUUGGCAAUAUGGAAAUCAAGUCGACUUGGUAUGGGCAAGGUCACCAGCUGAGAGUAAACAUGGGCGGAAAGUUGAGUUUUGAAGAGAGAAAUGUAUGAAAUCGUCACUGCGGAGAGUAAGAAAAAGGACAUCCUAGGAGGUGCAUUAAGAAGUAUGGCACUGACGUCCACGUUAGGGCUUUGGGUUCGUCACGUGUGCAACUGUGGAGGACGUGGAUGCAAGCAUGAAUGCAAGGCCACACAAAGUGGAUGGAAGAGUUGUGGAACCAAA